rnacentral:rRNA from 1 species
AGAGUUUGAUCCUGGCUCAGAACGAACGCUGGCGGCAUGCCUAACACAUGCAAGUCGAACGAUGGCUUCGGCCAUAGUGGCGCACGGGUGAGUAGCGCGUGGGAACCUGCCCUGAGGUACGGAAUAACAGCGGGAAACUGCUGCUAAUACCGUAUGUCCCCUGAGGGGGAAAGAUUUAUCGCCUUAGGAGGGGCCCGCGUCCGAUUAGCUAGUUGGUGAGGUAACGGCUCACCAAGGCUUCGAUCGGUAGCUGGUCUGAGAGGAUGAUCAGCCACACUGGGACUGAGACACGGCCCAGACUCCUACGGGAGGCAGCAGUGGGGAAUAUUGGACAAUGGGGGCAACCCUGAUCCAGCAAUGCCGCGUGGGUGAUGAAGGCCUUCGGGUUGUAAAGCCCUUUCGGCGGGGACGAUGAUGACGGUACCCGCAGAAGAAGCCCCGGCUAACUUCGUG